GAUGAAGAACGUAGCGAAAUGCGAUAAGUAGUGUGAAUUGCAGAGUUCAGUGAAUCAUCGAAUCCUUGAACGCACAUUGCGCCCCUUGGUAUUCCAUGGGGCAUGCCUGUUCGAGCGUCAUUUGUACCUUCAAGCUCUGCUUGGUGUUGGGUGUUUGUCUCGCCUCUGCGUGUAGACUCGCCUCGAAACAAUUGGCAGCCGGCGUAUUGAUUUCGGAGCGCAGUACAUCUCGCGCUUUGCACUCAUGACGACGACGUCCAAAAGUACAUUUUUACACUCUUGACCUCGGAUCAGGUAGGGAUACCCGCUGAACUUAAGCAUAUCAAUAAGCGGAGGA
rnacentral:misc_RNA from 1 species